UUCGGUUUGACGGUACUUGCAGAAAAAGCACCGGCUAACUACGUGCCAGCAGCCGCGGUAAUACGUAGGGUGCAAGCGUUGUCCGGAAUUAUUGGGCGUAAAGAGCUCGUAGGCGGUUUGUCGCGUCUGCUGUGAAAACUGGAGGCUCAACCUCCAGCCUGCAGUGGGUACGGGCAGACUAGAGUGCGGUAGGGGAGAUUGGAAUUCCUGGUGUAGCGGUGGAAUGCGCAGAUAUCAGGAGGAACACCGAUGGCGAAGGCAGAUCUCUGGGCCGUAACUGACGCUGAGGAGCGAAAGCAUGGGGAGCGAACAGGAUUAGAUACCCUGGUAGUCCAUGCCGUAAACGUUGGGAACUAGAUGUAGGGACCAUUCCACGGUUUCUGUGUCGCAGCUAACGCAUUAAGUUCCCCGCCUGGGGAGUACGGCCGCAAGGCUAAAACUCAAAGGAAUUGACGGGGGCCCGCACAAGCGGCGGAGCAUGCGGAUUAAUUCGAUGCAACGCGAAGAACCUUACCAAGGCUUGACAUAUACGAGAACGCUGCAGAAAUGUGGAACUCUUUGGACACUCGUAUACAGGUGGUGCAUGGUUGUCGUCAGCUCGUGUCGUGAGAUGUUGGGUUAAGUCCCGCAACGAGCGCAACCCUCGUUCUAUGUUGCCAGCACGUUAUGGUGGGAACUCAUAGGAGACUGCCGGGGUCAACUCGGAGGAAGGUGGGGAUGACGUCAAAUCAUCAUGCCCCUUAUGUCUUGGGCUUCACGCAUGCUACAAUGGCCGGUACAAAGGGCUGCGAUACCGUAAGGUGGAGCGAAUCCCAAAAAGCCGGUCUCAGUUCGGAUUGAGGUCUGCAACUCGACCUCAUGAAGUCGGAGUCGCUAGUAAUCGCAGAUCAGCAACGCUGCGGUGAAUACGUUCCCGGGCCUUGUACACACCGCCCGUCAAGUCAUGAAAGUCGGUAACACCCAACGCCAGUGGCCUAACCUUCGGGAGGGAGC
rnacentral:rRNA from 1 species